rnacentral:rRNA from 1 species
GGCGGCGUGCCUAACACAUGCAAGUCGAACGGAGAAUUUUAUUUCGGUAGAAUUCUUAGUGGCGAACGGGUGAGUAACGCGUAGGCAACCUGCCCUUUAGACGGGGACAACAUUCCGAAAGGAGUGCUAAUACCGGAUGUGAUCAUCGUGCCGCAUGGCAGGAUGAAGAAAGAUGGCCUCUACAAGUAAGCUAUCGCUAAAGGAUGGGCCUGCGUCUGAUUAGCUAGUUGGUAGUGUAACGGACUACCAAGGCGAUGAUCAGUAGCCGGUCUGAGAGGAUGAACGGCCACAUUGGGACUGAGACACGGCCCAAACUCCUACGGGAGGCAGCAGUGGGGAAUCUUCCGCAAUGGACGAAAGUCUGACGGAGCAACGCCGCGUGAGUGAUGAAGGAUUUCGGUCUGUAAAGCUCUGUUGUUUAUGACGAACGUGCAGUGUGUGAACAAUGCAUUGCAAUGACGGUAGUAAACGAGGAAGCCACGGCUAACUACGUGCCAGCAGCCGCGGUAAUACGUAGGUGGCGAGCGUUGUCCGGAAUUAUUGGGCGUAAAGAGCAUGUAGGCGGCUUAAUAAGUCGAGCGUGAAAAUGCGGGGCUCAACCCCGUAUGGCGCUGGAAACUGUUAGGCUUGAGUGCAGGAGAGGAAAGGGGAAUUCCCAGUGUAGCGGUGAAAUGCGUAGAUAUUGGGAGGAACACCAGUGGCGAAGGCGCCUUUCUGGACUGUGUCUGACGCUGAGAUGCGAAAGCCAGGGUAGCGAACGGGAUUAGAUACCCCGGUAGUCCUGGCCGUAAACGAUGGGUACUAGGUGUAGGAGGUAUCGACCCCUUCUGUGCCGGAGUUAACGCAAUAAGUACCCCGCCUGGGGAGUACGGCCGCAAGGUUGAAACUCAAAGGAAUUGACGGGGGCCCGCACAAGCGGUGGAGUAUGUGGUUUAAUUCGACGCAACGCGAAGAACCUUACCAAGGCUUGACAUUGAUUGAACGCUCUAGAGAUAGAGAUUUCCCUUCGGGGACAAGAAA